GCUCAGGACGAACGCUGGCGGCGUGCCUAAUACAUGCAAGUCGAGCGGACAGAUGGGAGCUUGCUCCCUGAUGUUAGCGGCGGACGGGUGAGUAACACGUGGGUAACCUGCCUGUAAGACUGGGAUAACUCCGGGAAACCGGGGCUAAUACCGGAUGCUUGUUUGAACCGCAUGGUUCAAACAUAAAAGGUGGCUUCGGCUACCACUUACAGAUGGACCCGCGGCGCAUUAGCUAGUUGGUGAGGUAAUGGCUCACCAAGGCAACGAUGCGUAGCCGACCUGAGAGGGUGAUCGGCCACACUGGGACUGAGACACGGCCCAGACUCCUACGGGAGGCAGCAGUAGGGAAUCUUCCGCAAUGGACGAAAGUCUGACGGAGCAACGCCGCGUGAGUGAUGAAGGUUUUCGGAUCGUAAAGCUCUGUUGUUAGGGAAGAACAAGUACCGUUCGAAUAGGGCGGUACCUUGACGGUACCUAACCAGAAAGCCACGGCUAACUACGUGCCAGCAGCCGCGGUAAUACGUAGGUGGCAAGCGUUGUCCGGAAUUAUUGGGCGUAAAGGGCUCGCAGGCGGUUUCUUAAGUCUGAUGUGAAAGCCCCCGGCUCAACCGGGGAGGGUCAUUGGAAACUGGGGAACUUGAGUGCAGAAGAGGAGAGUGGAAUUCCACGUGUAGCGGUGAAAUGCGUAGAGAUGUGGAGGAACACCAGUGGCGAAGGCGACUCUCUGGUCUGUAACUGACGCUGAGGAGCGAAAGCGUGGGGAGCGAACAGGAUUAGAUACCCUGGUAGUCCACGCCGUAAACGAUGAGUGCUAAGUGUUAGGGGGUUUCCGCCCCUUAGUGCUGCAGCUAACGCAUUAAGCACUCCGCCUGGGGAGUACGGUCGCAAGACUGAAACUCAAAGGAAUUGACGGGGGCCCGCACAAGCGGUGGAGCAUGUGGUUUAAUUCGAAGCAACGCGAAGAACCUUACCAGGUCUUGACAUCCUCUGACAAUCCUAGAGAUAGGACGUCCCCUUCGGGGGCAGAGUGACAGGUGGUGCAUGGUUGUCGUCAGCUCGUGUCGUGAGAUGUUGGGUUAAGUCCCGCAACGAGCGCAACCCUUGAUCUUAGUUGCCAGCAUUCAGUUGGGCACUCUAAGGUGACUGCCGGUGACAAACCGGAGGAAGGUGGGGAUGACGUCAAAUCAUCAUGCCCCUUAUGACCUGGGCUACACACGUGCUACAAUGGACAGAACAAAGGGCAGCGAAACCGCGAGGUUAAGCCAAUCCCACAAAUCUGUUCUCAGUUCGGAUCGCAGUCUGCAACUCGACUGCGUGAAGCUGGAAUCGCUAGUAAUCGCGGAUCAGCAUGCCGCGGGUGAAUACGUUCCCGGGCCUUGUACACACCGCCCGUCACACCACGAGAGUUUGUAACACCCGAAGUCGGUGAGGUAACCUUUUAGGAGCCAGCCGCCGAAGGUGGGACAGAUGAUUGG
rnacentral:rRNA from 1 species